UGAAGUCAGAGUUUCUAGUUCAGUUUGAUGGGGUGACAUCAAAUUCCGAGGGCCUGGUAAUUGUAAUUGGUGCAACGAAUAAGCCACAGGAGUUGGAUGAUGCUGUUCUAAGGAGAUUGGUGAAAAGAAUAUAUAUACCUCUACCUGAUGCUAGUGUUAGAAGACAACUUCUGAAACACAGACUAAAGGGGAAAGCUUUUUCUUUGCCUGGUGGAGAUCUAGAACGACUGGUGAGAGACACAGAAGGGUAUUCUGGAAGUGAUCUUCAAGCCUUAUGCGAGGAGGCUGCAAUGAUGCCAAUCAGAGAGCUUGGUGCUAACAUUCUCUCUGUCCAGGCAAAUCAGGUGAGGGGUUUAAGAUAUGGAGAUUUUCAGAAGGCCAUGACAGUGAUUAGGCCUAGCCUGCAAAAGAGCAAGUGGGAGGAGCUUGAAAAGUGGAAUCAAGAGUUUGGUGCAAACUAAAGGCUCGACUCUUGAACAUUCUAUGCAAUCUCAAGUAAGCUAAAACAAAAGUUCACGACAGGCCAGCAGAUGAUAAAUUUGUUUCUUGGGCAGAUCAGCAUCCUGACUGUACGUGUACAUACUUAAGAAUUUAAAUUUGAUUAUUAGCCAAAAUUUGGAGUAUAUAAUUCUGAGGGAAUCAUGUCUAGAUGAUCACGACAUGUGUUCUGUGGUUCCCCG
rnacentral:misc_RNA from 1 species